AUUGAACGCUGGCGGCAGGCUUAACACAUGCAAGUCGAACGAGUGGCGGACGGGUGAGUAAUGCUUGGGAAUCUUGCUUAUGGAGGGGGAUAACUACGGGAAACUGUAGCUAAUACCGCGUACCAUAGGCAGAGCCCAAGUGGGAUUAGGUAGUUGGUGGGGUAAAGGCUCACCAAGCCGAAGAUCUCUAGCUGGUCGGAGAGGAUGACGAGCCACACUGGGACUGGGACACGGCCAAGACUCCUACGGAAGGCAGCAGUGGGGAAUAUUGCUCAAGGGGGGCAGCCUGACGAGGCCAUGCCGCGUGAAUGAAGAAGGCCUUCGGUUUGUAAAGUUCUUUCGGUAGCGAGGCGUUAACUACAGAAGAAGCAACGGCUAACUCCGUGCCAGCAGCCGCGGUAAUAC
rnacentral:rRNA from 1 species